GGUGUUGGGUUCAGUCCCGCAACGAGCGCAACCCUCGCCCUUUGUUGCCAUCGGGUAAAGCCGGGCACUCUAAGGGGACUGCCAGCGACAAGUUGGAGGAAGGAGAGGAUGACGUCAAGUCAUCAUGGCCUUUAUGCCUAGGGCCACACACGUGCAACAAUGGCCGGUACAGACGGAGGCAAUGCCGAGAGGCGGAGCAAACCCGAGAAAACCGGUCCCAGUUCGGAUUGAGGUCUGCAACUUCGACCUCAUGAAGUCGGAAUCGCUAGUAAUCGCAUAUCAGAACGAUGCGGUGAAUACGUUCCCGGGCCUUGUACACACCGCCCGUCACACCACGAAAGUUUGUUGUACCCGAAGUCGGUGCCUUAACCUCGCAAGAGGAGAGAGCCGCCCAAGGUAUGGCCGAUGAUUGGGGUGAAGUGUAACAAGGUAGCCGUAGGGGAACCUGCGGCUGGAUCACCUCCUUCUAGGAGAGAAGGGUCCUGGAUGAAGCGCUCCUAUUUAGUCUUGUGAAGG
rnacentral:rRNA from 1 species